UGUGGCGAGAACAUUCAGUCAUAACGUCGUGUCGCUUUGCUGGGCAUGCAUUAUGGUUCACGUGACGUGGCCCGGCCCGGCUAGCGCUGCGCGGCGAGCUGACGCAUUUGUUUCUUGCCCGAAGGACGCCGCAACCGGUUGGAGGACGGUCUUAAAAGCGAGAGCCGGCAGGUGGCCGUGCGGCGCGCCUCGUGCGUGUCGCCGGUUGUUAGCCUUUUCGCAAAACGACCCGUCCGCCGACCGUGGCAAUAGAGAGGCCCGGCUGGGCUUCGUCGUCUCCUCCUAUGGCUAGCGUGUAAAGAAGCGUCGCAGGAGUUCGGAGCGGUGUUGUCACACGGAUCAACUUCGUGGGCACGCGCCGCUACGUCUCUGUUGGCUUGAUGCAAGGCACGCGGGAGUGAUUGACGGUAGCGGCGAGUAGAUCGGUCACCCACCCGACCCGUCUUGAAACACGGACCAAGGAGUUG
rnacentral:rRNA from 1 species